AAGUCGUAACAAGGUUUCCGUAGGUGAACCUGCGGAAGGAUCAUCAAUAAUCCAAAUGAUCAGUGACUUAAAAAACCACUGGUCUAACCUUCUUGUGAACCGUUUAUUGUUUAUUGGUUGGGAGUAUAACUGAGAUGUCAACUUUGUUGUCGGAUCGACUCCCAAUCGAUUAUCUUUAUACAAACUAUUUUAUUUUUGAAGUUGAUUAUUUUACAGGAAACUGUACUAAUAUAUAUACAACUUAUAGCGAUGGAUCUCUUGGUUCUG
rnacentral:misc_RNA from 1 species